UGUACUCUCAGUCGGUUUCUGUGAGGUCCGGCUGACUGGAAAAUAACUGACUUACUGAAGCAGUCUAUUCUUUCUAUCACUAAACCUUAGACAUUAAUGGUUAGUCAACUGGUCACAGUUAAUUCUUUUUGCCAAAGGGUGAGGGGAAAAAGACAUUAAUCACUUCAGCUUUUUCUGUGUCAACUUUUUCUAGCUUUUCAUCCUUAUGGAAGGGCCCCAUUGGCAGUCAUCACACCUUGAAAACUCACCCAAGCCCUCCUGGUGACUCCACCUUCCCAACCACACAACAAUUUUCAGAGACUCAGUGCCUUUGCCUGGGAGAACUGGGCACUGUCAGAGCCCCUGAGCCCUCCACUGUCACUCCCAUGACCAUGCCGCUGAAUCUGACUUGCUUAUGGUCCUGCCUGGCAGAACCAUGAACACACAUGAAAAGGAUCAGCAGAUAGUAUCUGUGAGAGGGCCAGGUGAGGGGCAGCAACUUUACUGCACUGUCUUCGAUUUGGUGUUUUGGUGGCUGGGAUACCUCCUUGAGUACCAGGCUGAAAGUCAGAA